rnacentral:rRNA from 1 species
GACAGAGGUGCCGAGCGUUAGGCGGAAUCACUGGGCUUAAAGCGUGUGUAGGCGGACAAUUAAAGUACCUUGUGAAAUCCCACGGCUUAACCGUGGAACGGCUGGGUAUACUGGUUGUCUUGAGCCACUUAGGGGCGAGCGGAACAAAUGGUGGAGCGGUGAAAUGCGUAGAUAUCAUUUGGAACGCCAAUGGUGAAAACAGCUCGCUGGGAGUGUGCUGACGCUGAGACACGAAAGCCAGGGUAGCGAACGGG